AGCCCUGUGGUCCAGUAGGUCAAAGACGGCAGGCUCUGGACCUGCAAACGGAAGUUCGAAUCUUCCCGGGGCUA
rnacentral:tRNA from 2 species